UUGGGGAACAAAGGGGUUUGCCUCAUGUUUUCAUAUAAUUUAUUAUUUCAAUGCCAUUUAUGGAUUUCAAUUCACAUUGUCCAUAACUUAUCGAGCAAUCUAUGGUUUUUCUCAGCCCACUUAGGUAGUCCCUCUUUUUGGCCCUAAUAUCUACCGUGUGGUAGAUCAGGAGGGCCUGGAAUUUUGCGGAUAGGUAGGUCCCAGUUCUCCUGUUCACAUGGCAAGUUUCAGCCUUAAUGGAGUUGGCCGCAUG